GUCGCUUUGGCGGAGUGGUUAACGCGCUGCCCUGCUAAGGCAGUUCCCUCUGGGAGCGCAGGUUCGAAUCCUGCAGGCGACG